rnacentral:lncRNA from 1 species
AGGGGCACCCCUCCCAUCCCUUCUUCCUCUAGCUCCUGCUCCUAUACUUCCUCCCCACCGGAAGGGCACUCCACCUCCUGCACCACAUUUUAAAGCACCUAUACUUCCUCCCCGUCGGAAGGGCCCACCUCCAGCACCACAUUUUAGGGCACCUGUACCUCCUCCCCAUAGGAAGGGCACUCCACCUCCAGCACCACAUUUUAAGGCACCUAUACUUCCUCCCGGUCGGAAGCGCACUCCACCUCCUGCACCACAUUUUAAGGCACCUGUAGCUCCUCCCCGUCGAAAGGGCACUCCACCUCCUACACCACAUUUUAAGGCACCUGUGCUUCCUCCCCGUAGGAAGCGCACUCCACCUCCUGCACCACAUGUUAAGGCACCCAUUCCAUCUACUGUUAUUCCUCCUUGGAAGGACAUUCCACCUUCCACUCCAAUUCCAGCACCACGGUUGGGGGUACCUCUUCCAUCUCCUGUUCGUCAGCCCCCUCGCACUCCUAUUGUUUCACCUCCGCGAAAGCGCAAUCCACCUUCUAGUCCUCCACCAAGGUUGGGGGUACCCCUUCCAUCUCCUGUUCGUCAGCCCCCUCGCACUCCUAUUGUUCCACCUCCGCGAAAGCGCAAUCCACCUUCUAGUCCUCCACCACGGUUAGGGGCACCACUUCCGUCUCCUCUUUUUCCUCCGCCGCACACUCCUGUUCUUCCACCUCCUCCUCAAUAUGCGGCCGAUCCUC